GGUGGCUGCCGUGAUGUGAGAACACUCAACAAGUCCUAUGGGGAGACCCACAUGGUGAGGAACUGAGGCCACUUGCCAAUGGCAGUGUGAAGGCACCAUCUUGAAAGUGGACCCUCCAGCCCCAGGCAAGCCUUCACAUAAGACUGCAGCCCCAGCUGAUAUCUUGACUGCCACCUCAUGAAAGACCAUGAACCACAGCCAUCCAGCUAUGCUGCUCCAAGUUCCUGACUCACAGAAACUAUGCCAUCUACUCAAAGAGAGGGACCUUAUUGUCUAGUUUGCUUACUGCCGUGUGCCCAGAACCCGGAAGGAUUCUUGCACAUAAAGACUGGCUUCCGUCUUGUGGCACUCUCUUGUUUUCUUGCCUGCUGGCUGCAUCGAAACAACGAUAGUGUGUGAGCUACCCUAAAGAGAAUCACACGUGGUGGUGAACUGACAAAGGCCUCCAGCCAAUAGCCAAUGAGGAACUGAGGCCCUCAGUGCCACAGCCCAUGAGGAACCGAUCCUGCCCCCACCACUGAUUUCACUUAGAAGUGGAUCCUGACCCUUUGGAACCUUGAGAUGAGCCCACAGCUGUGGCCGACACCUUGGUUGCAGUCUGUGAGAGGCCGUCAGCCAGAGGACCCGGCUCAGCCACGCCUGGAUUCCUGCCCCACUGAAACUGUUGGGUGUGGACGGAAGAACAAAGGUGCAGAAGGAGGAGGGAAAAGACACAGACGCAAGCUGAGGCGGCCGUGUGAAAUACCACAGGAGUUCAGGAUAUGAAAUCAGGCUAGGGUCUCAGGUUCCCUUCACUGCGCCAUGUGGCCUCGAAGAUGGUGUUCAGCCCUGCUGGGUCCCUGUGUCUUCGUCUCUACCCUAGGCACGGCACAAUUUUCCUCCCUAUCGUGCAGCGAAGAGUAAAUCCAAAAGCACAUGGAAGGGGAGACCAUGACAGGGCCUUUGUUA